rnacentral:lncRNA from 1 species
CGGUUAUGCAGGUCCAGCAAGAGAAGUGAAUUCUCUGUAGCCCAAGGCAGCUGCAGUGCAAUCUUCUGUAUGAAAACUUUGUAGGGUUUUUUUUUUUUUUUUUUUUUUUUUAAAGAUCUGGUGUUCAGUAUCCUGGCAUUUAGCAAAUUAUGAACUUGAUUUUAGGAGCCAAAGCCUGGAAUUUAGCUCAGAAUUUGGUUUCCUGAACAAGAGCGUAGAGUUCCUAAGUGUAGUAGACUUUAUUAAAACAACUCGUAAUUUGGAAAUUUCUUUUUCUUCUCAUUACUGCAUGGGAUACUACAAGGGUUGUAGUAUAUUGUUUGUUCAUGCUGAUUCUGAGUCAGCCACUUUGUAAGAAUCAUAACUAAAAUGCUAAUUUAAUUUUGUUCAGGUGUAUUUUUCCUGGGUAGGAUUCAGAAACUUUAAACAAUUGCAUACUGUUUUCCCUUCAUCUGCUUCUGUCAGAGUACAGUCCAUUUUCAUGGGUUAGGCUGUUGCAUUUUCGCUUCUUUCUAAUAUCUAAUCUUGUACAGGGAUAUUUUACUGUGUAACCCUGUCAUAAGCUGGAAAGUUUUCAGUUUGUGGUUAUUUAAAGAGGAAAUGAUAGUUUCAAAUGAACUUUUUCGUCUUAUUUGCUUUUGGUUUUUUAUUUUAUGCAGAAAAUUUUCCAAAGGACAUGGCAACAAUAAAAUUGUCAGUUUGUCAAUGUUCGGAAAUGGUUUUAUUUUUAACAUGGGGAAAAAGUGAUGUUUGUGUGUGUUACGCUAACAGCGGUUUCUUGGCCUUGCCAGCGUUUCUGUUAGUUGACCCUGAUUCUGCCUGUGUCGUCAAACUGUCAGACUGUAAUUGCUGCUGCUGUUCUCAUCCUGUCAGCGCUGACCUUUGGGUUUCUCAGAAGCUCAUUAACAAGGAACGUAACUAGCGCAACUCUCAGGAGAUGGAGCGUGAUGUGUCAGACAACCCGUACUAUGUUAUGGCUUCGUGCACAACGGACGCAGUGAAGGGCAAAGCGCUCUUUUCCCACCCUCUUCUCAAGCCUCCCUCCCCUUGAAGUUUGAAACUUUGAAGGAUGCGCAUCCGCCCUGCUGUGCUUGGGAAAACCUGCCGCUUCCUCCUCCCAGGAGGAACAACUCACCCCCUCUCCCCCCACCGGAGUGCAUAAAAUACAGCAAGGAGGAGCGAAACGAGCUGCUGCCAUCGUUCUUUAACCUAAAGAGCACGAUAUAUAUAUAUAUUAAAAAAAAAAAGGAGGGGGGGGAAGAACCCCAACUUGUGGGCUCCUCAGCGGCCGCGCUAGCCCCCGGCUUUUCCAG